rnacentral:misc_RNA from 1 species
AGAAGAUCCCAACCAUCUGCUUGCUAGCUGCCAGGCAGUAACAUGGUGGGCUAGGAGAGCCUUCUUCGCUUGAGCUUAAAUUUGAAUUCAAGUUUACUAAUCUUUCCAAAUCUUCAUUCCCUAGCUCAUCUUCUAAUGAAAGCAGGUCAGAGAAGCUGAGUCUAGGUUUGAUGCCAGCUUGUUGAUCAGGCUGUGGUGAAGAUGAAUGCUUUGCUUCAGUCACAUUGUUGUAAUAUUGAGGGAUUUCCUGUUCAUUAUUGUUGCUGUUGAGUGCUUGUCGAAUUAGG